UGGGGAAUUUUGCACAAUGGGGGAAACCCUGAUGCAGCGACGCCGCGUGAUUUAGAAGGCCUUCGGGUUGUAAAAAUCUUUUCUAUGGGAAGAAAAUGACAGUACCAUAGGAAUAAGGACCGGCUAAUUACGUGCCAGCAGCCGCGGUAAUACGUAAGGUCCGAGCGUUGUCCGGAAUCAUUGGGCGUAAAGGGUACGUAGGCGGGUAAGCAAGUUAGAAGUGAAAUCCUAUAGCUCAACUAUAGUAAGCUUUUAAAACUGCUCAUCUUGAGGUAUGGAAGGGAAAGUGGAACUCCUAGUGUAGCGGUGAAAUGCGCAGAUAUUAGGAGGAAUACCGGUGGCGAAGGCGACUUUCUGGCCAUAACCUGACGCUGAGGUACGAAAGCGUGGGUAGCAAACAGG
rnacentral:rRNA from 1 species